UUACAGCGAAAAUUAAACUCAUGUCCAACCCAAAUCGUUUGAAAAUAUAAUAAAACAUUAACGCAAUAAUGAUUAAGUGCUGACACGCGUGGAGGACGUUUUACUCCCCUUCGCCACGCGUCGAGACAAACGAGCUCCACCGUUGGAAUCGCCAAACACCACUGCAGUUCUGAUUUGCCACCAUCAAUCGGCCAGUGACCGAUGAAGAUCUUUGUGCCUUCUGUCGAUCUCGAAUGCAAGCGCCUAGAUGUCGAUAUUCUGCCGGAUCAAGUCUAAAGAGCUGCUUCAAAAUCUCCAAUUAGCACCAUCGUCGGGGAAGCUUCAUCAUUGGCUACACCCAAAAUUGAUGUAGCUUGAUCUUUGCUCGUACGUUGUGACCAAAACGAAGAGAUGAAGAUGUUAUUCCUCAAACAAUUUGGUGGAAACAAAGAGAAUUAUGAAGAAGGCGGAGAUGUCGACAAACGCUUAAGAUGGAGAUCUAAGCUCGUCACGGCGAGAGAACCGGACAAAACCGGUGACAAAAGUCUGACACAUAGCCAGAAUUAUUGAGAUCGCACUAAGACGAAAGAUAUACAUAUCCGGCUAACCGGAAACAAAAGUUUAUACAAGUGAACUCUCUCUCUCUCUCAAGGAUAUGUGAGAGAUAAGAGAAAGAGGAAAUUCUCUUAAUUACUAAUAUAUUUCUUAUCAGCGAU
rnacentral:sRNA from 1 species